AAGAAGCACCCUCUCUUCAAGCUCUCAGAGAUGGAGACCAGCUCAUUGUUCCUAUGGGUGCUGCUGCUCUGGGUUCCAGGCUCCACUGGUGACAUUGUGCUGACCCAGUCUCCAGCAUCUUUGGCUGUGUCUCUAGGGCAGAGUGCCACUAUCUCCUGCAGGGCCAGCGAAAGUGUCAGUAUAUCUAGCUAUAAUUAUAUGCACUGGUACCAACAGAAACCAGGACAGCCACCCAAACUCCUCAUCUAUGGUGCAUCCAACCUAGCAUCUGGGGUCCCUGCCAGGUUCAGUGGCAGUGGAUCUGGAACAGACUUCACCCUUGCCAUUCAUCCUGUGGAGGCUGAUGAUGAUGCAGACUAUUACUGUCAGCAAAGUAAGAAGCUUUCUCCCACAGUGCUCCAGGGCUGA